AAAAGCUUAAAAAAGAAUCCUUAAAGGUGUCUUUAGAAGAAAAUAGGGUAUGCUCAGAAAUCUUGAGAUGAAUUUAGAAGAAAUAGAAGGUGCUCGCUGAAAAGAAGCUCAACCACCAACAGCAGGUGAAGUUAGAAGAACAUGGGUGCACACAGAGACCCAGCCCAAAGUCGCAGGUGCAGUAAGAAGAAAAUGAAAUGUGGUGCAGAACCCACCGGAACUGGUGCCGGCGGCGAGCUCCAUGGAGUUACAACAAGAGGCGUGUGGCUGCCGGAAGCGCCUGGUUUGACGACGGGUGCGGCCAUGGGUCUAGCAUCGGCGGCAAGACUUGCAAAAUGAAAUUGAGUGAUGAAUAAUUAUCAGCGUAUCUCUAAUGAUGAAGAUGAAUGUGCUUGAACGAGGACCGAAAUUACACUGAUCACAACAUUGUGGAUGUUUAUCUCUUCUUCAACCCAAAUGCAUUUGGAGCAAGAGAUGAUUAAUUAAGUGUAUAAAUGUGAUUACAUUUGUUUUCUAGUGUUAAAAUUAAAUCAACAUCAAUUUAGACAAUUAUCUUGUGACCCUUUUUUCAUAGGCUAAGGCUGCGACUUUUUCACAGCUGCUACAACUGUAAUAAACUCAACUUUAGGAGUUGACUGAACUACAACCUCUUGCUUCUUUGAA